rnacentral:lncRNA from 1 species
GAAAUUCUCCCAAAGGUAGUAUUGCCUAUACAUAGGAAUAUGUGGUAAUAUGAGGAUUGGUUGCAUACACACUUCUGGGCUUCAGAAUUAAUUAUUAGGGAUGCUAGGAAUCGUAUGAACUCAUAGUUAAGGAUAGGCUUUCUUACCGGUGACAGCGAUAUUAAGUGUUUUAGAGAGUAGCAUUAACAUUAAUGAAGAAGAGGAAUUCUUAUAUGCAUGAGAGUGAUUAGGGGAAAUCUAACCCCAACAACAUAUUCAUCUCAUAUUCUAAUCUUCAUCCAUCCAUCCAAUUUUGUGUUAAACUCAAUUGAUCAAAUUGCAUUCAUGUUUAUUUUUCCAUACUUUAUAUUUAAAAAUCCCAAAAUAUUAUUUUUAUAAUCUUGAUUGGUUAAGCAAAAGCACAACAGUUUAGUGUCGUGAGUCUCUUGGGAAAACGAUACUUGGACUUACCAUUUAUUAUUACUUGAUACGAUUUGGUACACUUGCCAGAAUGUUAACAAGUUUUUGGCGCCGUUGUCGGGGACUCAAUGUAGAACUAUUCUAUGUGUGUGAUUCUUAAUUGAUUAGACUUUCUAUCUUUCUACCCCUUUCUUUCUAUUUUUUUAUCUUUCUGUUUUUAUUUUUCUUUCUUUGUAAAAAAAAAAAAUCUUUUAUUGUUUUUAUUUUUUUUAUUAUUAUUUUUUGGGAUAAUUUUGUGCUCUAGUGCAGUGUUCGUUAGUGUAUGCAGGAUAAAAUUUUUGGUACUAGGAGCACAAGAUCAUCAGGAGGCAGAUAAGAAAGGAGAAUUGGUUCACCAACACCCUGAUGUGAAGUGACAAACCCAAACCUGGCAUAUCAGUGAAAUUCAAGAAUAGGUUAUGGGUUGUCAAGACUAUCAAAGCAAAUAAAAUUCUGAAGAUGGAGGAUCCUUAGCGUUGGUGACAAGAAAAGUCUCGAGAUGUUGUUGGUGUCAUGGAGGAAGGAAGAACGCCAACAGAAAAUAUCAACACCUGAUGGGUGUGUGGGCUUUACCGGGUCAAGCUAACGACGUUAAAAGAGCGCUUGCUGGGAGGCAACCCAGUUUCUGAUUUUUGUUUUAUCUUUUAUUUCUUUUUGAUUUUAUUUGAUUUUAUUUUAUUUUAUUUGAUUUUAUUUGAUUUUAUUUGAUUUGAUUUUGUUUUAUUUUAUUUUAUUUUAUUUGAUUUCAUUUGAUUUGAUUUUAUUUUAUUUUUAUUUUUAUUUUUAUUUUUAUUUUAUUUUAUUUUAUUUUUUGUUAUGCGCUGCUUCUAAUGACAAUAAUGAUUAGGAUCUAUUGAUGGAUGCUAUAUGGUUAGACAUUUACUGAUGGAUGUCACUGUCAGCAUUUACUGAUGAAUGCUACUGGGAUAGCAUCUACUGAGGGAUGCUAGAAGAUUUAGGUGUCUACUGAAGGAUACCAGGAAGGUACACCUACUGAUGGGUGUUGGAAAGGUAUGCACUUACUGACAAGUGCUAGACAGGUUUGGGUCAGGCUCGUGACGUUAAACAAGCGCUACUAGGAGGCAACCUAUGUUCUCUCUUACUUUUGCAUUUUGAAUUCUUAGAAUAGGGUGAAUUUUUAUUUUCAGUGUCUAUGCUUGGCUUGAAUACUUUUCUGACAAUGUUUGACUAAAUGACAUGCAUGAUAAGUCUACUUGACGAUGACUUGAUGUGAAUGAUAAUUGAGUUGUGUUGCAUGUGAUAUUCGGUGAAAAAGUUCACUAGCUAUGUGAACAGAUGUGUGAUAAAUUAUGAUUGUGGUUAUGAGGCUAAGCAGGAUGUAUGAUGAAUGAUGUGUGAGGAAAGCAUGUGUGUGAGGUAUUGAGCUCCAGAGUUUUCAUUGUUGCAUGUAUUGUUCACAAGAAAACAUGAAUGAUAUUGUCUAAAUCUUGAUGAUUGAUUGAAUUGCAUGUGAAUGUCAUAUGAUCAAGGCCAUUUUUAAAAACCCUUCUCUAGCCAAAUUUUCACCCAAAGUGCUUAAAAUAUUAUACCCUUUUUG